rnacentral:rRNA from 1 species
CGCCUCUUGAUUGAACCAUAAGAGGUCCAGCCUGCCCAGUGACAUUGUUCAACGGCCGCGGUAUCCUAACCGUGCGAAGGUAGCGUAAUCACUUGUCCCUUAAAUGGGGACUAGUAUGAAUGGCCACACGAAAGCUAUACUGUCUCCUUUUUCCAAUCAGUUAAACUAAUCUUCCCGUGAAGAAGCGGGAAUAAACAUACAAGACGAGAAGACCCUAUGGAGCUUUAAACAAUUGAAACACUUGCAUUUUAUUUUUAAGCCUACAUUAAACCUCACAUUUUGUUUCUAGUUUUAGGUUGGGGUGACCGCGGAGAAAAGACUAACCUCCACGCUGAAAGAGAUUUUCCCUCUAAACAAAAAGCUACAUCUUUAAGUAUUAAUAUAUUAACCUUAAUUGACCCAAUUUAUUGAUCAACGAACCAAGUUACCCUAGGGAUAACAGCGCAAUCCAUUUCAAGAGCUCUUAUCGACAAAUGGGUUUACGACCUCGAUGUUGGAUCAGGGUGUCCCAGUGGUGCAGCCGCUACGAAUGGUUCGUUUGUUCAACGAUUAAAACCCU